rnacentral:rRNA from 1 species
CCUACGGGGGGCUGCAGUGGGGAAUUUUGGACAAUGGGCGCAAGCCUGAUCCAGCCAUGCCGCGUGUGUGAAGAAGGCCUUCGGGUUGUAAAGCACUUUCGGCCGGAACGAAAUCGCGCGGGCGAACAUCCCGCGUGGAUGACGGUACCGGAAGAAGAAGCACCGGCUAACUACGUGCCAGCAGCCGCGGUAAUACGUAGGGGGCGAGCGUUAAUCGGAAUUACUGGGGGCGGCGCCGGAGCAGGCGGGUGAAAUCCCCGGGCUUAACCUGGGAAUGGCGCUUGAAACUACGGGGCUGGAGUAUGGCAGAGGGAGGUGGAAUUCCACGUGUAGCGGUGAAAUGCGUAGAGAUGUGGAGGAACACCGAUGGCGAAGGCAGCCUCCUGGGCCAAUACUGACGCUCAUGCACGAAAGCGUGGGGAGCAAACAGGAUUAGAUACCCUAGUAGUC